rnacentral:rRNA from 1 species
CCAGACUCCUACGGGAGGCAGCAGUGGGGAAUAUUGCACAAUGGGCGGAAGCCUGAUGCAGCAACGCCGCGUGCGGGAUGACGGCCUUCGGGUUGUAAACCGCUUUCGCCUGUGACGAAGCGUGAGUGACGGUAAUGGGUAAAGAAGCACCGGCUAACUACGUGCCAGCAGCCGCGGUGAUACGUAGGGUGCGAGCGUUGUCCGGAUUUAUUGGGCGUAAAGGGCUCGUAGGUGGUUGAUCGCGUCGGAAGUGUAAUCUUGGGGCUUAACCCUGAGCGUGCUUUCGAUACGGGUUGACUUGAGGAAGGUAGGGGAGAAUGGAAUUCCUGGUGGAGCGGUGGAAUGCGCAGAUAUCAGGAGGAACACCAGUGGCGAAGGCGGUUCUCUGGGCCUUUCCUGACGCUGAGGAGCGAAAGCGUGGGGAGCGAACAGGCUUAGAUACCCUGGUAGUCCACGCUGUAAACGGUGGGUACUAGGUGUGGGGUCCAUUCCACGGGUUCCGUGCCGUAGCUAACGCUUUAAGUACCCCGCCUGGGGAGUACGGCCGCAAGGCUAAAACUCAAAGGAAUUGACGGGGGCCCGCACAAGAGGGCGAA